UACGGGGGGGGGCAAGCGUUGUUCGGAAUUACUGGGCGGAAAGGGCUCGUAGGCGGCCAACUAAGUCAGACGUGAAAUCCCUCGGCUUAACCGGGGAACUGCGUCUGAUACUGGAUGGCUUGAGUUCGGGAGAGGGAUGCGGAAUUCCAGGUGUAGCGGUGAAAUGCGUAGAUAUCUGGAGGAACACCGGUGGCGAAGGCGGCAUCCUGGACCGAUACUGACGCUGAGGAGCGAAAGCCAGGGGAGCAAACGGG
rnacentral:rRNA from 1 species